UUUAAAUAGCUUAACUAAUAAAAGCACAAUAUUGAAGAUAUUGAGAUAAUAAAAAAUUUUUAAAUAU
rnacentral:tRNA from 1 species